UACGUAGGUGGCAAGCGUUGUCCGGAUUUACUGGGCGUAAAGCGCGCGCAGGCGGACUGAUCAGUCUGGGGUGAAAUCUCACGGCUCAACUGUGAGCGGUCCCUGGAUACUGUCAGUCUUGAGAGACCUAGGGGAGAGCGGAAUUCCCGGUGUAGUGGUGGAAUGCGUAGAUAUCGGGAAGAACACCAGUGGCGAAAGCGGCUCUCUGGGGGUUUUCUGACGCUGAGGCGCGAAAGCGUGGGGAGCGAACCGG
rnacentral:rRNA from 1 species